rnacentral:lncRNA from 1 species
UAAAGCAGGGAAAUUGGUAUCAGGCACGUGAGCUCAGAGGCCGGUUCUGAGGACAGCGAACAAUGCACCCCUCCAGCGGGCCCAGGAGACCCCGUGUGGGUCAGUUGGCCUCACAGCGCGCAGGUUCCAGGGUGCACCCGAGGCUCCGCAAAUGCUGAGCUUCGCAGGAGCGUGGUUUUCCCCGGCUGUGUCCACCGAAGUGACCGCAGGGGAGAGGUUUUAGCUCCUGAGAGACAAGAGGGGACCUGAAUGGGUCGCUGCGGAUUCCACUUGACAGAAGAAAUUUUAUACAGCAGAAUCAUGAGAAACUAUGACCUUUGGAGCUGGCCCCUGCCCUGUGGUCUCAGUCCAGGAUCCAGCACUCCCAGUGUCUCCAUCUGGGGCUGACAAUGGCACUCAAGCUCUUGGACCCUUGAUUUAGUGCUGUCCCCAGGUCCUUUGCUUUGCUGUACAAAUGUAUAGGUGUGUGUGGGGGGGGGCAAUGCAAGUGGUUUAACUUCCUACUGACGUCUUUAGAAUAAAUAAUUACUCUCCUUAUAAACAUUCUUUUAAAAGAAGGUUUUUGAGGUCAAUUAUUAAGUUCUUCAACUCUGUUCUCUUCUAAGACAAAGAACACCAAUUAAAAUCAUAGAAAUGAUUCAAGAGUGUUAUCUAAAGUUGGUAAGUUAUUCAAGCUAUGAUGAUAGCAUUUAAAAAAUACUUUAAGUAAGAAGUUGUAUACCUGUAACCUCAGCACUUUGGGAGACUGAGGGAGGAGGUUUGCAAAUUCAAGACUAGCCUGGGCAACUUGGCAAUUUAGUGAGACCCUGUCACAAAAUAAAACCAGAACAAGAAAAA